rnacentral:rRNA from 1 species
GACGAACGCUGGCGGCGUGCCUAACACAUGCAAGUCGAACGGGACCAGGGGCAACUCUGGUUCAGUGGCGGACGGGUGCGUAACACGUGAGGAACAUGACCUUCGGCGGGGGAGUAGCCGGCCCAACGGCCGGGUAAUACCGCGUACGACCACAUGGGGACAUCCCUGAGUGGUGAAAGCAGCAAUGCGCCGAUGGAGUGCCUCGCGGCCUAUCAGCUAGUUGGUGAGGUAGCGGCUCACCAAGGCGACGACGGGUAGCUGGUCUGAGAGGAUGGCCAGCCACAUUGGGACUGAGACACGGCCCAGACUCCUACGGGAGCAGCAGUGGGAAUAUUGCGCAAUGGACGAAAGUCUGACGCAGCGACGCCGCGUGUGGGAUGACGGU